rnacentral:rRNA from 1 species
AUGGCACCAACUCACAAUGGGAGUCCUGCCAUCAACAUCUUACGCAGGAGCUUCAACUACACUCAGCAACGUGCCAACUACGUCUGCUACGGGUACCUCAGACCACCCAUGAGGGUCGCUCCACGAGCAGGCCAACCAGCCAAGCACGAACAAUGUAGACAUAAGUCACUGUUACGGCUUUGUCAUCGUUGCAAUAACGACAACCAACAGGCCUAUGUGCACCGGCACGAGCAAUGUACAAAUAGAAGAAACGUCACCAAUACAGAAGUGAAUGAGGAAAAUGAUGAUGAAAUGCAGGAAGAGGAAGAAGAGGGACAAUCAGAAUUCAUGCAAACUCAACCACCGUACAUUGGUCAGAGAUUUAGUACAUUUGAUGAUGCCAAGAAAUAUUACUACCUCCAUUUUUGUAUACAAGGCCACAAACACACAUUACAUGUACCAAGGCAAAAGUAA